UUGUAAAGUUCUUCAUAUUUUUAUAAAAAUAACAAAAAAACCUAUUUAUCUUAUUGAUUAACGAAAGAACAUCAAUAAUUACGUGAAUAUAACUUAUAGAAAGCAUAAUUUCAACAUCCAAAGACGUGUAAAGUGCAAAAGUGAAUUUUUGAUUUCGGGAAAUACGAUGUUUUUUGAUAAAAACAAAGAAAAUACUGAUUUUAAAGGCACGCGCCUAACAUAUUUGUAAAUUAGGGCUAAAAACGAGUAUUUUAAGACCUUUCCCGUAAAAAUUGGUGUACGUUUUCGGAAAAGCCGCUCUCCUGAACAUUUACCAAAUUAAUAUACAGAAACGUUAUAGUGAAGUGUUAAAAGCCUGUCUUUAUUCGCAAAAUAUUAUUUUUCGCCACCGUCAUUUCAGGCUUUAAUGACUUUAAGUCUGUAAGUUUCUUUCUUGGAGACAGGUUGGAGGAUAGUUUGCUUUGGCUUGCUCAUUUAGACUUGUGCAUCGAAUGUUUGCCGGCGUUUACGUCCCUUUGGAGCAGGAUACAGCGAACUGACGGCAGCAGCGACUUGAUACCAGCAACGGAGUUAUAGCGCAGCAGUGGCUUAAUACCAGCAGCGGAGUGAUGACAGCAACGGAUUGAAAAACGUUUUUAUUUUUACCGUCACUUUAGUUUUUGCCGGUUCUUUAAACAGUUAUUUUAAACGGUACUUUAGAAACUUAAAUUGUAGAAACGUGAGGCUAAAAUACGGAAGAGUAACAAGGAAAAAGCGAGAGAAAAAGAGAAAGAGAGGCAAGAAAAGGACAGAGAAUCAAACGCGUCCCAAUGCCGAGAGUAGAAUGCCGCAUAUUAGUAGAGGGAGAAAAUAGUCAAGGACAAAGCAACAAUGCAUAUGACGCUACGACGCUAGUAAGAAGGUACCCCAAUGUCCGGCGCCGAACGAGCGAGACGGUUUCGGGAACGUCGCAAAACUGCUGCCGCCGACCUCGAGAGUACUGCUCCCACUGGAAAACCUAUACUUAUGGAUCUUCCACGGAACUGAGAGAUGUCAAUAUCAGUAGAAGUGAAGCAAUGCAAAAUCAUAAACGUUCAGCGGACAAACGCUUCAAAACGGUAUUUAAAGCCAAACCGUUUGGUUUAUCUUGCAGCGUUUGUGAUCGACUUUGGUUUGAAAGAGACUUAAAGAAAGUGAAACAUCGCAACAUUUCUUUCCUUCAAGCAAAAUUACCCGAUGAAAAUGUGACGGAAUUUCGCUUAUGCAGUACCUGUAGCAAAUCGAUAGAUGCCAAUAAAAUCAAAACGCAGUCGUGCUCAAACGGUUUUCGUUAUCCUCUAAAGCCGAGCGGACUGCCGCUGCUUGACCCAAUCAGCAUUCGAUUGAUUUCACCGCGGUUACCAUUUUCAUGUAAACAACAUGGUGAAGCAAUUACCGAGGCGGAUAGACGACGAUUUUGCUUUUAAUAUCAACAUAAAAAAGAAACUUAUUCAUAAAUCGAAUUACUUGAGUGGUUUCGUACGUAGAUCCGUUAUCAAGGCCUGGCUGCGUUAUUUGGUAAACCAACCGCUGUACAAACACUAUGACAUAAAGAUCGACUCGAGUGUGUUUGACAAAGAUAUGGAUGACUAUAUCAAGCUCAAAUUUCAGAUUGAGUCUGUCGAUCCCAACUUUGCCCCAGAAUCUAAAAUCCUGUGUGUCCCGGCACAGCCCCACCCGAUUUUUUAUCGACCGGGAGAAUGUUCAAAAUUGAACAUGUUCGUUGCUACCAAAGGACGGACAACAACAUUAUAGUUAAACCUUUUAUAUGUUUGACAUAUGGUAACACCGAUUAUUUGACAGUUUGUAGCUCUUUCGUUAUUGUUAAGUAAAUUGAUUUGAACAAUAAAUCAAAUAUAGAAUGAAAAUGAACUAUUUUUGCACUAUAGAAUGUAAAAAAAAUGUCUACAAACUAUUUCAUGAAGUGUUUGUGAACAUAAAAAUUAAUGAUAUAAAUGUAAAACUAAUUUUAAAUCCUAAAUAUACGUAAUUCAAUUAGUGGUAAUUUUCAACUUUAAACGCAAAUAUCUCAAAAACUAUUCGUUUGCGACCAUACCCAUUUUAUUUCCGAAAUCCUGGGACGGUAUUCUAAAACUUCAAGUAAACAAUAAUUAAAAUAUUUACAAAAAUUAUAUUCAUAUCAUUUUACUUACGAAGAAAAACACAAUAACUUAUCUUUUGCUUUUGCGAAAAAAUCAAAAUUUUUUUUUAUUUUUUUUCCAGAAAACAAUCAAAAUUGACGCAUUUGACAUUUUAAUUGGCUCACAAUUUCCCAUCAAGGGGUUCCAUAAUUGCUCACCAGGGUUGCCAUUGAUUGUGACAAAUAAGCACAAUAUUGUUGGGGGCGCUGUAUUGGCCAAUAAAUUGUCAAACUACACGAUUGACUUAUAAUAGAGACCAAUAAUUGGUGUAUUGAGACAAUCGUGUAUUAAUACUUUUUGUAUCAACUCGACUGCAUUUGUCAGAUAUUUUUUGUAAGCGAAACGUUCUGUGUUAUUUGACUAACGAUUUUUACAUUGCAAUGUCCUACGAGAGUAAUCGAGCGGUGCGACGCUGCAUUACCAGUCAUUGGUGAAAUGACUAGUUCCAAAAUCGUUUGUGAAUAGCUAAUACAGAAUCGCCAGCGUUUUCAUUAAUUCAAAAUGGCUAGUGAUUUGACUGACUCCAAAUCGUUAGUGAUUUCGUUAAUUCGAAAUUACAGGUGGUUUGACUAAUUCAAAAUCGUUAGCGAUUUCAUUUAUUCUAACUCGCUAGCGAUUUUACUGGUUCAAUUUUACGAAAAUAAAAGAAAU